UAAAGAUGUAUUUCCAGUUAUCACAAAUAUAUAAUCAAUUGACAACAACUUAAUUAUAUCCAACAUAAAAGAGUUUUCAUACCUUCUAAUAUUAUAAUAUCUCACUAUAUUAGUGGCUAAAUCAGUUUUCUCUAGCACAAAUACUCACUCCAUUCUUGGAGAUUAAGCUUUUCUAUCUAAUGAUAUUAGUAGUUUGAUCUCAAAAAAAAAAACGGUUGAACUGUACAUUGUAAUUGAAGAAAGAAAACAAUAAAAAAUCAACCGAAGACUUUUAAGGUAUAUGAAACAAAAAUUAGAAAUAGCAAUUAUCUACAAUUAAAGAAUAAGGUAAUAAAAUUUUAAAAAUAAAAAAAUAAAACAAAAAAUCUUUAUAAAUAAAGGAGACUUUAGUCUCUCCAUAGGCGUCCACGUCACCCUAUAAGGUUGGGCAUUUCACGACACGUGUCGUCACUUUAGGCUGUUUGCGAUUUUUGGUUUUUUGUUGGAUCUCUUAAUCCAUUGAUAUGAUAUGGGCUUUUAUUUCUUUUGCACAGUUAGCCCAAACUUGAGCACACAUGUUAGAAACCCACGCGCAUUAGGGUUCCCUCUGCAGUCUUCUUCUUGUGCGCGACCUCAACGAUGAAAACACACAGAAGCCUAAAGCGACGUUGCGAGCUACAUAACGUUCUCCACCAUUAAUAACUCUGUUCUUUACUCCGCGUUAACUUGAAGCAAUCAAUCUACCUCUUCGUAUCCCAUCGUAACCGGUUUCAGCUUUAGCUAUAAAUAUGGCAUCGCACCUUCCUGCGAUGUACAGUUCAACUCACUUAUGGGAAUCAACAUGGUUUCGAUUGAUGAGAAGUAGUUACAUAGCCCACAAACCCUAUACCUACAGAGUUGUUCAUGAUCAACUGAUGUUACUUGCCAAUACGAACACCCAAUUAUCAGGUUUACUCUUCCUAUAUGCUACAUAGAGCACCCAUUUCUCUUUUGAUUAAGAGUGUCUAGCCAGCCAGAACUUCCUGGAAGCGUUAGACUUUCCACCGCCCUCAUUUCAACUAUACACUUAGCGUGCUUCAGUUCUCAAUCUCUGAGACAUAACAUUACGCAGGAUGUGUCAAUGAUGGCGGGUUUUCCUCAACCUCCACCAAGAUGGAGAAUGAAAAAGCAAGCUCUCCAUGAAGAGUUUCAGAGAUAAAAAAGGAAUAGUUUGCAAUAAAGAUACAACUCCGCACAGCUCACGGUAAUAUCGCUCCUACAUUUGGAAAUGUGUUAUGAUUUUUUUCAAAUAUCAACACAGCUUACUGGAAUUUUUUUUGUGAAACAGGAUGCAUCUGUUGAAGACACAGAGGCGAGAACACUGCCAACAUAAAUAAAAAAUUUAGUCAUAACCUACACUUUUAAGUUAAAGCUGUUCGAGUUCAAGUUUUCUUCUUCUAAACAUCAGUUUUUAAGCACAGCAACGACCUUUAAUGACAAUGAACGUCAGCCCCUGCCAAACUUUGCGGAACAUAGAGGAACCCUGGCGCUGGAGCUGUGAACACUUAAGGCUUCUCAUGGUGUGACCAGAGAAGCCCCCAAGACCAACGGUGGAUUGAUGUUGUUGAUGGUUGAAGGAACUGCACAAAGCUUAACUUCUAAAGUUGUGUAGUUCUCAUCAGUCUGUCCACCGCAACUACUCCCUUUGAUUUAGGCUUUUUGUAUGUUUGAAUAGAUGCGUGUUUCUUUAUUUAAUACAUGUUACUUCUUUUUUUUUCUUUCAUUUGGUUGCCUUGAACUCGAUGUAAGUUUUAAUUCUAAUAACUUAAAUUCCAGUCAA